rnacentral:rRNA from 1 species
CACUCCUGCGGGAGGCAGCAGUGGGGAAUUUUGGACAAUGGGCGAAAGCCUGAUCCAGCAAUGCCGCGUGAGUGAAGAAGGCCUUCGGGUUGUAAAGCUCUUUUGUCAGGGAAGAAACGGUGAGAGCUAAUAUCUCUUGCUAAUGACGGUACCUGAAGAAUAAGCACCGGCUAACUACGUGCCAGCAGCCGCGGUAAUACGUAGGGUGCAAGCGUUAAUCGGAAUUACUGGGCGUAAAGCGUGCGCAGGCGGUUUUGUAAGUCUGAUGUGAAAUCCCCGGGCUCAACCUGGGAAUUGCAUUGGAGACUGCAAGGCUAGAAUCUGGCAGAGGGGGGUAGAAUUCCACGUGUAGCAGUGAAAUGCGUAGAUAUGUGGAGGAACACCGAUGGCGAAGGCAGCCCCCUGGGUCAAGAUUGACGCUCAUGCACGAAAGCGUGGGGAGCAAACAGGAUUAGAUACCCCUGUAGUCCCAUGAU